ACUUGAGGUAAUAACAUUCCUACUUCUUCAAAUUCUUUUAUACUGAACACGGCAUAACCUGCAGCAUGCUCAUAUAAAACAUGGCAGGUCAAUCGCCAGGAAGUUAUCUAUCGACGUUAAUAUCGAUUGAUAAUCCUAUCGAUUGUACGAUCGAGUGAUCGAUUAAAAAUUUAUUUUGAUGUGAUUUAAAUGUUAACAAGAUAAUUACUGUCACGGAAAAUUUAUUUAACGAAUCAAAAAUAAAUCCUGUCAAAUCUGAUCCGGAUGCAUCGUUGGAAGUAGGAAAAAACGAGGAAUUAAAUCUCGGUGUAAAAAAAUAUCAUUCAACUGUUCUUCGUCGGCGCAGGAAGUUAAGAAAAAUCAAGGAAUCAAAUCUAGGUGUAAGAAAAUGUCAAUCCACUGUUGUUCGUCGGCGCAGAAGAGUGGGAAGAACAAAGGAAUCAAAUCUUUGUGUAAGAAAAUGUCAUUCUACUGUCGUUGUUCCUCGGCGUAAAAUAUUGAAAAAAAGUAACAACAAUGAGGCAUUAAAAAUACCAAAAAUACCUGCAAAAAUUCUUCGAAUAAUAAAUAUUUUACGGCACGAAGAAUUUUUGGAUAUGGUUUCACGUUAUCUUCAAUCAUCGAUUGUAAAACAAUUGAAAAAAAUGAAAUAUUCGGAAACCAUAUCGCCAAUAAAUUCUACAAUUUCUAAAGCGAAUAUGUAAGAAAAUGUUUUACGAGAAGAUAAUACACACACACACAUAUAUAUAUAUAUUAUAACA
rnacentral:misc_RNA from 1 species